GUUGACAGAUGGAUGCCUUCUUAAUCACAGCCUGUGUGGGUAAAGGGAAAGCCUUGCCUGGCCAACCCCUCCCACUCCCACCCCCACCUCCUGCAUUGAUUCACAAACCUGGACUGCUCUGGAGGAGGCUGGGAAAGUCCAUCCCCAGGGAAUACCACUUUUUUCCUCUUCUGUGCCUCUCACAGGACACCCACAUGACUAGGAGGAGGCAGAAAGUGAAUAGGGAGCUCUUAUUACUUUUUGAGUGUCAGCAAGUUAAGACAUCAUCUCCAGAAAACUGUGCUAGUUGGCAUCCAGCAGUGCCCAAGUAUUAUUUAACCCACUAGAACCUGUGACUGCAUCAGCUUUAUAUCCUGGACCUCAGCCUGGAACAAAGGAGAGCUACACUUGGAUACUAAACACAAGUGGUCUGGAUAGAUUAUGCUGGGAAAAGAAGCCUGGAGCAGGCAGUACAGUGGGAGAACAAGACAGAAGUGCUUGCCUUGGUGAUCCAAAAAAGGCAGGAUCCGGCCGGGGGCAAGGUGAUUAUUCUGUCUGAUGAGGAGAAUAAGAGCCAGUUUGUGGUAUUGACAGAAGAAUGAAAGUAAAGUUCAACCAAUCUACAAAGGCCAAAAAUAUUUUCACAGGCCCCCAAAAGAUGAACUCCAAUCUGCUGCCCCUAAACGCAUUCUCCACUGUCUGGAAGAUGUGCAAAGGCAACGGCACAGCGUUCUCCAUCUCAAAUCCUUCAAAGUGCUGUCAGAAUAAAAGAAUCCCCACCAAAAGCCCCAGGGAAAUCUAUCUGUCUGUAUGGUAUGGUAAUGACUGAGGUUAUUCCAGAUAGGAUUCUGGGAGAAACUCAGCUAUUGAAAUCUAAUGAAUGGAACUGAGAAUUUCUUGUUAUAAUACUGUUUGUUUGAUUGAAUAUAUCCUUGCAUAUAGGAAGACAUAAAAAUAAAUAAUAAAAGCAAGAUAUUAUUUGAA
rnacentral:lncRNA from 1 species